GAUGAACGCUAGCGGCAGGCCUAAUACAUGCAAGUCGAACGGUGUAGCAAUACACAGUGGCGCACGGGUGCGUAACACGUAUGCAACCUACCUUACAUUGGGGGAUAGCCUUUCGAAAGGGAGAUUAAUACCGCAUAAGACAGUAACUAGGCAUCUAGUAGCUGUUAAAGAUUUAUCGAUGUAAGCUGGGCAUGCGUCCAAUUAGUUAGUUGGCGAGGUAAUGGCUCACCAAGAGGAUGAUUGGUAGGGGAACUGAGAGGUCAAUCCCCCACACUUGCACUGAGAUACGGGCCAGACUCCUACGGGAGGCAGCAGUAGGGAAUAUUGGGCAAUGGGCGCAAGCCUGACCCAGCCAUGCCGCGUGCAGGAAGAAGGCGUUAUGCGUUGUAAACUGCUUUUAUACAGGAAGAGACGACCCUUGCGAGGGGCAUUGACGGUACUGUAUGAAUAAGCACCGGCUAACUCCGUGCCAGCAGCCGCCGUAAAAC
rnacentral:rRNA from 1 species